UACAGAGGGGGCGAGCGUUGUUCGGAAUUACUGGGCGUAAAGGGCGCGUAGGCGGCCUUCUAAGUCGAACGUGAAAUCCCCGGGCUCAACCCGGGAACUGCGUCCGAUACUGGGAGGCUUGAAUCCGGGAGAGGGAUGUGGAAUUCCAGGUGUAGCGGUGAAAUGCGUAGAUAUCGGGAGGAACACCUGUGGCGAAAGCGGCGCACUGGACCAUAACUGACGCUGAUGCGCGAAAGCUAGGGGAGCAAACAGG
rnacentral:rRNA from 1 species